CUGUAGAUCCCGAAGGGCUCCUCGGGGGCAGCUGCCGGCUGACCUCACCUGCUGGUUCCACCAGUGCGCGCCCACGAAACCGGCAAAAUGUCCCAACUGCAGUAUCUCUCCGCUGGCUGAUAGCUCCCCGGGCAAAAAGAAAACCUUGCCAGAAAAGCGGAAGCUCCCCUAAAGCCUCCCAUGCCCCUUCAUCUCUUCAGAAGUCACGUGGACCACGACU
ensembl:lncRNA novel transcript, antisense to MSTO1